rnacentral:rRNA from 1 species
GAUGAACGCUGGCGGCGUGCCUAAUACAUGCAAGUCGAACGCUUCACUUCGGUGAAGAGUGGCGAACGGGUGAGUAAUACAUAAGUAACCUGGCAUCUACAGGGGGAUAACUGAUGGAAACGUCAGCUAAGACCGCAUAGGUGUAGAGAUCGCAUGAACUCUAUAUGAAAAGUGCUACGGGACUGGUAGAUGAUGGACUUAUGGCGCAUGAGCUUGUUGGUAGGGUAACGGCCUACCAAGGCGACGAUGCGUAGCCGACCUGAGAGGGUGACCGGCCACACUGGGACUGAGACACGGCCCAGACUCCUACGGGAGGCAGCAGUAGGGAAUUUUCGGCAAUGGGGGAAACCCUGACCGAGCAACGCCGCGUGAAGGAAGAAGUAAUUCGUUAUGUAAACUUCUGUCAUAGAGGAAGAACGGUGGAUAUAGGGAAUGAUAUCCAAGUGACGGUACUCUAUAAGAAAGCCACGGCUAACUACGUG